UGGCCGUAAACGAUGUGGACUUGGUGUUGGAAUGGCUCCGAGCUGCUCCAGUGCCGAAGGGAAGCUGUUAAGUCCACCGCCUGGGAAGUACGGUCGCAAGACUGAAACUUAAAGGAAUUGGCGGGGGGAGCACCACAACGCGUGGAGCCUGCGGUUUAAUUGGAUUCAACGCCGAAAAACUCACCAGCAGCGACUGUUACAUGAAAGUCAGGUUGAUGACCUUACUAGAUUUUCAGAGAGGUGGUGCAUGGCGUCAGUGACU
rnacentral:rRNA from 1 species